rnacentral:lncRNA from 1 species
AUGUAUACUGCAGUCACACUGAAGGUCCUGAUCUUUGCUUUUGGUACAGACGCAGCAGGCCUAGUGUUCCUCAUAUUCCCCUUCCAGCACCAUCCCCGUGGCCACAGAGAUGAAUGGAAAUGCAGGUUAAAACUCUUGGUUAUGCAACUGUGGGGCCCUGAAUACAAAGGUGGUGUUGCUCAGCUUCUGUGCUGGAAAUACCGUAGAAACCCCACAGGGAGCUCAGGGGUCUUGGUGGAAACAGCACUAAAGACAGAAAGCAGAGAGAGGAUGAAGCAAAUUAAAAGUGGGAACAUUUCUCUCCUGAAUCCAGAUGUACCAAAGAAGGAGGAAAGUCUCACUGCAGAGCUCUACAGAAGGCAGAAAAACUGA